ACCUAAGAGAUUAGGCGUUCCCUUCGGGGACGGAAUGACAGGUGUGCAUGGUUGUCGUCAGCUCGUGUCGUGAGAUGUUGGGUUAAGUCCCGCAACGAGCGCAACCCUCGUUCUAUGUUGCCAGCGCGUAAUGGCGGGAACUCAUAGGAGACUGCCGGGGUCAACUCGGAGGAAGGUGGGGAUGACGUCAAAUCAUCAUGCCCCUUAUGUCUUGGGCUUCACGCAUGCUACAAUGGCCGGUACAAAGGGCUGCAAUACCGUAAGGUGGAGCGAAUCCCAAAAAGCCGGUCUCAGUUCGGAUUGAGGUCUGCAACUCGACCUCAUGAAGUCGGAGUCGCUAGUAAUCGUGGAUCAGCAUGCCACGGUGAAUACGUUCCCGGGUCUUGUACACACCGA
rnacentral:rRNA from 1 species